rnacentral:rRNA from 1 species
UACGUAGGGUGCGAGCGUUAAUCGGAAUUACUGGGCGUAAAGCGUGCGCAGGCGGUUCGUUAAGUUCGUUGUGAAAGCCCCGGGCUCAACCUGGGAACUGCAAUGGAAACUGGCGGGCUUGAGUGUGGCAGAGGGGGGUGGAAUUCCGCGUGUAGCAGUGAAAUGCGUAGAGAUGUGGAGGAACACCGAUGGCGAAGGCAGCCCCCUGGGUCAAGAUUGACGCUCAUGCACGAAAGCCAGGGGAGCAAACGGG